rnacentral:rRNA from 1 species
UACGAAGGGGGCUAGCGUUGCUCGGAAUCACUGGGCGUAAAGCGCACGUAGGCGGAUUCUUAAGUCAGGGGUGAAAUCCUGGAGCUCAACUCCAGAACUGCCUUUGAUACUGAGGGUCUUGAGUUCGGGAGAGGUGAGUGGAACUGCGAGUGUAGAGGUGAAAUUCGUAGAUAUUCGCAAGAACACCAGUGGCGAAGGCGGCUCACUGGCCCGAUACUGACGCUGAGGUGCGAAA